CCAGACUCCUACGGGAGGCAGCAGUGAGGAAUAUUGGUCAAUGGCCGAGAGGCUGAACCAGCCAAGUCGCGUGAGGGAAGACGGCCCUACGGGUUGUAAACCUCUUUUGUCGGGGAGCAAAGCGAACCACGUGUGGUUCAUUGAGAGUACCCGAAGAAAAAGCAUCGGCUAACUCCGUGCCAGCAGCCGCGGUAAUACGGAGGAUGCGAGCGUUAUCCGGAUUUAUUGGGUUUAAAGGGUGCGUAGGCGGAGUGUCAAGUCAGCGGUAAAAUUUCGGGGCUCAACCCCGUCGUGCCGUUGAAACUGACGCCCUUGAGUGAGUGAGAAGUAAGCGGAAUGCGUGGUGUAGCGGUGAAAUGCAUAGAUAUCACGCAGAACGCCGAUUGCGAAGGCAGCAUACCGGCGCGCAACUGACGCUCAUGCACGAAAGCGUGGGUAUCGAACAGGAUUAGAUACCCGUGUA
rnacentral:rRNA from 1 species